rnacentral:rRNA from 1 species
UACGUAGGUACCGAGCGUUAUCCGGAUUUACUGGGCGUAAAGCGCGUUCAGGCGGUUUGGCAAGUCGGGCAUGAAAUCUCUCGGCUCAACCGGGAGAGGUUGUCCGAUACUGCUGGACUUGAGGGCAGUAGAGGGUGGUGGAAUUCCGGGUGUAGUGGUGAAAUGCGUAGAUAUCCGGAGGAACACCAGUGGCGAAAGCGGCCACCUGGACUGUACCUGACGCUGACACGCGAAAGCUAGGGGAGCGAACGGG